GCCCGAUUGGUGGAAUUGGAAGACACACUUGGUUUAGGUCCAAGCGCAAAAGCAUGGGGGUUCGAGUCCCUCAUCGGGCACCA
rnacentral:tRNA from 2 species